rnacentral:lncRNA from 1 species
UUCCAUUACAAGAAAUAAAUAUGAAUGAUCCAAAUAUUGCAUACCUGAGAAACACUAAACUUCAUCACAAAUAAAUGAUUAGUUCUACUGCUAGCACACUUGUAGAUAGUUAUCUUUUUAUAAGAAAUUUAUUGCACAAUUACUUCAUCAAAAACAAAUGAUGGCCCCUCAGUCCAAUCUGAAACCACAAAUAUAUGACAUUGUCAGUAGUGAAUUUGGAAAUGUUCACCCGAUAUGAAAUUGUCUAACACGAAACGCCAAAUUGGUGCAAACAAAGAGCCCAUUACUUUGCUUAACUAGGAACACCGUAUUUGGAGGAUAAUAAUGAUCCUACUAACGCCUCGAGAUUUGCAUUGAUUUGAGACAUUUGAAGAUGAGACAUUGGAGGGAACCAAAUCUUGUGCUUUGCGUGCAGCUGGAGACUUGGUUUCCACCAACGCUCACCUUCAGCUUCCAAAUUCUUCAGACAGGUCUCAUCUUGCUGCACUGCCACCUACACAUCUGAUCAACCGAACAUGAGAAAUUGGUGGAAACCAAGUCUCGUCUUUUCUUUCUCAACCAGAAAUUGCCCAAGUUUCAGCUCGGAGUUCCCUCCCUGGCCAAGCUAAGUACCUUACUCUAAUCCAUGUAGGAGUAUUCCGCUUGAUUUUGCAGUGGCGGCUACCGAUAGUGGCAAUGAAGAUAAGAUGUUGGAGAAAACCGAGACGGAGCUGAAGACAACAGGGCAGAGUUCAGUUUUCUACCACCCUUGCCUUCAGAGCUUAGCUAAUAGAUGUUUGGGUUGCCAAUUUGCCAUGCUCCCAGCUUUGAUGGUGCUGCCCUUU